GGUGUUUCAUGAAAUUUUUGUUACAAGUCAAAUAAGAGAACUACAUACCAAGUCUGUAAUCUUGGUAGAAACAGAGUCUCCACUGUAUGAUAUGUGCAGACCAGCAAACACCUUUCCAACUAUCAACCACCUCACUCCCUCUGAGGCGAUUCUUCAGUUACCAUGAAGAAGUUGUAAACUGGAAUGGGAGUAGAAACAGUCCAUAUUCAAGUUACCAGCAUCACUGGUCUCAAAGGACUUGGCUGUGUCGUAGCCACUGUCAGAUGAAGUGCAUAUAUUUGGUGAUUUGAUAGGU